UACAGAGGGUGCGAGCGUUAAUCGGAAUUACUGGGCGUAAAGCGUGCGCAGACGGUUGCGUAAGUCAGAUGUGAAAGCCCCGGGCUCAACCUGGGAAUUGCAUUUGAGACUGCGUAGCUAGGGUGCGGAAGAGGGAAGCGGAAUUCUCGGUGUAGAGGUGAAAUUCGUAGAUAUCGAGAGGAACACCGGUGGCGAAGGCGGCCUUCUGGACAGUGACUGACGCUGAGACGCGAAAGCGUGGGGAGCAAACAGG
rnacentral:rRNA from 1 species